rnacentral:lncRNA from 1 species
GGAGUGUAAUCCAAAGUGAAAGGGCAAGGGAGGUCUAGCUAGAGGGAGGGUGGCAGGGGAUCGGGGCCUGGUGUGGAAGUCAUGCGUUGCACUCAUGUGUGCAUGGACCCCAGCAGGGUAAGUGUGAGGCCACAGGCGGGACCCCAUGUGCCAUGCUUAGGGGUUCAGACAUUGUCCUGGAGAUGAUGAAGGACCCCUGAGAGUUUUAAGCAGAGUUGGGUGUGAAGAUGGAUCUGAGAGGCCAAGACCGAGCAGGGAGACAAGUCAUGAUGGUCCUGAUCCGAGACGGUGUGGGAGGUGGGAACUGACUUUAAGAUGGUGGAAAUGCAAAGCCAGGUGAUGUUUCUGGGACAGGAUUGACCAAAUCUAGUGACCUACUAGAUAUAGGGAGAAAAAAUAAGGAAAGCAUAGGGGAUCACACUGAGGGUUUGCAUUUGAGAGACUAGAGUCAGGAGGCAAGGCAGGAUGGGGGUGGAGAAGGGGAAUGAUGGGGCUGAAAUUAGACCACAGUGGUGGUGGGAAUGUGGACACUGAGGGAAGAGGAGGCAGUGAGCACACGAGUCUUUCAUGAUGUUUGGUGAUGAAGAGAAGGAGGGAUGUUCUGUAGCUUUAAAGGAUUUUUCAAAAGUAGGAGAAAGAACCUGUUUGUAAGUAGAGGGAAGAUACGGUAGAGAGGGAGAGAUCAUAGGGUGUAGAGAACUGCCAUUUGCUGAGUGGGUGCCGCUUGCAGGCCCGGAGCCAUGCCCUUAACAUGCAUAUCUCAUUUCAGCAGCAUGCCAACCCAUGGGGUAGCUCUACUUAUACCCAUUUUCUGAAUGAAGAAACUGAGGCAGACCGAUGGAUUCACCCAGGGAUGGGACUUGCUGAGCAGUUGAAGCAAAAGAAUAGAGUGACUGGGAAGGGAAGAAAAUGAAGUCAAACGAAAGCUAAUAGAAUGGGGUGGCGGAGUGCGGGGCUUAACGGGCUGAGGGGUGUCUAUAUUCCAGACGUGGGAUUUGGAGUUGUUCUGGCUAAUGUCAAAGACCACACACAAGGACAUGGACGUCAACGGUUCAUUCACAUGAGAUGACAGUUACCCAGGAUGAACCAACUGCAAAAAGCUGUCUGUGGAUGGUAACUGCAGGUGACCUGAAUGCAUGUGCCUCCUCCUUCUUUUUCCGCUUUUUGUCUUUUCCUUAAGCCUCUCUGAACAGUAUCUUCAGAAGUGUCUGUUUCCCACAGAGCAUGGUGUGUCCAAGAAAUACCCCACAUUCCCAUUGCCUUUGCUAUUUAAUGCUGUAGUUGGGAGAGGCAGUCUUGCUUUCUGCUUGCCUGUCUUUUUGGAGCACAUAUGAACUACAAAUAGAUACAGCCCACAUUUUGCCUCAAAGAUAUAUUCUUUGUUUUCUCCAAGUUGCCAAGUUGAACUCUAAGCUGAUGUUUAAUUUAUCUGUGGUAAUGAGGAACGGGGAUAGCCUUGCAUAAUUGGAAUCUGAAGAUAAGCCAAAAGCUUCUUUUAGCCAAAAUUCCUACAUCCUUUCCCACCAACUCUUUAUGCCUGUGUUGCUAACAAAUGGCAAAUUGACUAAUCUGAGUUUCACCAGUUCUUUGUGUGGUGUAUCUGACCUUUCACAAUGGGUUCAUACCAGAGUCCACUUCCAUGGUCCUUCAAGAUGUGGGUGUCUGGUUCUCAGGUAACCAACCAAAACCUUUGUACCUACCACUCAUGUAUAUUUCAGUUGAAGUUAGAAAAGCACCCCCUCAGUCUAUAGCUAACCUCUGGUGAAAUUGAGGAAUGAAUGAAUUGCUAAGCCAUCUAUAAAUAGAAUUCCGGGACAAUUCAUCUGAUGUGAGAGACAACCCUUUGAUAGGUUUCUGAGAAGAUGUGUGAAGCCACUACUCUCAAUUGUUCUUUCAUUUACUUUUUGCUAAUCAAAGCCCCAGACAUAUUCCAAAAUGUGAGAUGUUUUGGAAGAUUAACCAAAACACAAGCUGAAAUUUACCAGGGGCUCUGUAUAAAGUUAUACCCUUAGGCUUUUAUUCUCAAAGCCCUCCCAAGUACAGAAGUGUAGCAUGGGAUGAUGUGACAUAGAAUCGCAGAGUGGGAGGAGCCCACCAUACUUCAAUUCAGUGUAUCCAGAAGGAAAACUAAGGUUCACAGACUUGCUUAGGGGCUUAGUCAAGGGACUAUUUGUUCAGAACCAACAUUCAUACAAAGAGUCUUAAAUUUAAAAGGGGAUUUAUUUCAGAGAAACCUCAUGGAAACCAGUUGAAAGAGGGUUAGUGGGGACUUUCGGGAAGUGAAAAGUCGCUGGUUAAUUUCUCUGUUUCUAUCUCUGUGGGGCCUUGCAGAUUCUUUUCUUUGCUUCCGGGAGCCUUCUUCAUAUCUGCAGUGGAUAUGAGGUGAUAUGGUUUGGCUCUGUUCCCCACCCAAAUCUCAUCUCGAAUUGUAAUCCUACGAUCGCCACGUGUCAAGGGCAGAAACUGGUAGGAGGUGAUUGGAUCGUGGGGGCAGUGUGCUGUUCUCGUGAUAGUGAGUGAGUUCUCACGAGAUCUGAUGAUUUUAUAAAGGGCUCUUCCCCUUUCGCCAUUCACUCUGUCCUGCUGCCUUGUGAAGAAGGUGUCUGCUUCCUCUUCACCUUCUGCCAUGAUUGUCAGUUUCCUGAGGCCUUCCCAGCCAUGCUGAACUGUGAGUCAAUGAAACCUCUUUCCUUUAUAAAUUACCCAGUCUCGGGUAUUUCUUUAGAGCAGUGUGAGAAUGGACUAACACGAGGCUUCGCUGGUCUCUCAUGACCAACCCAAAAGGCAAGGUCAGCUUCCAUGUCUCAAUGGCCUUCCAGUGAGGCCCCUCACAGCUAACUGACCAGGGCAGGGGUCUCCUUGGUCCAGCUGAGAUCAGGGCCUGGCUCCGGCCCAUGCCUGUGGUAAGAGUGGGACUAUCCCUUGUGGAGCUGACAAGGGCUGACUCUCUGUAAGGGUGGCUAAGGCACUACUGGCCACUCUGGUGCCCCAGGAUGGCACAGGCAGGUCAGAACCUGGCUGUCACUCCAGGCCAGCCUUCUGCCACUGACUGGAAAGGUGGGCUCAAACACAACUGCAGUUAAAAGAGAGGAAUUGCCCCGGAGGUGAAUGCAGUCACCUGCAUAGGGGAAAAGGAGGUGAGAGGCCUGCUCUACUCCCCCUGAUCAGAUGCCAUCCAAGGGCACAUGGCUGACAUGUUUGAAGAAAAACCCAGAGUCAACUCAGAGCCCAACUCAGGCCUGAUAAAAAGUGACUAUGAUGAUGAAGAGAUUCAAAAUUAUGCUGCAGAAGGAAUGGCUGGAGGGUCUAGGCGUAUUUCACCUGGAAAGAGGAAGCUUUAAAGGAGAUGUGAGUCUUUUGUCCAAAUGUGUAGACUGACUAAAUUCUUUAAAGAGUUUUAUGUUUGUGUAUAUCUGAAGGGUCCAGAACUAGCAUCAAAGGGUAGAAUUUAGAGGGAGGAAGACUUUGGAUUAAAAUUAGGGGCCACAUACUUUCUGUGAGGGUAUCUUGAUAUUGGCUGCCCUGUCACAUUUAAGAAAGGAUGGGAUGAUCAUUCGUAAGAGAAGCUGUAGAGCUGAUCCACAAACUAAGGGAGUUCUGAAGUCUAUUCUAGUUUGGAAUUCUAUGGCUCUGCUGCAGGUGCAUCUGGUUGGCUGGAUUGAUUGCUAUCACAGGGGCAGAGGCCACUGUGUAUGAUCACUUAGGUCAGUGAAAUCAGUAGAGGCCAAGCGGCUGCACCACUGGAGGACAGCAGGUUGCCCUGAUCCUGAAUCCCUUCAACACUGGGCCUUCUCACAUCUGUUUGAGACAAGCCACUUUCAGCUGAGAUGCACUAGAUCCUUCAAGCCUCUCUACCACCCACAGGGUCACCAUCUGCUGGAGCGGCCAGUGGGGCUGCAGGUUACCCAUCAAAGCCCAAGCUAUGAAAUUGUCAUUGAGAGGAGUGCUUUAGACAUAGAGCUCAUUUGGUGGCAGAGAUCAGAAGCUUGUUCAAAGCAGCCUGGAAUUUUUAAAAGAAUAAGGGAAACAUGUAAAGGCAGCUUGCAGUCUAUCUGAGAAAACAAGACAUACCCUCAAGCAGAUAAUUGCCAUUUACAGUCAUUCCUAUGAUCUCAGCACUAUGUGGGUUUAAUCAGCCUUCUGCUAAAAGGAACCAGGUCCAAGACAUUCAGCAUGGCAUGGUAGCUAAGCAAGAUCCAGUGUCUUCAUUCAGCACUGACAGAGUCACUGUCUCUGAGCAGUACUUAGCUACAGAAACUUUGAAGCCUUCUGCAAUUUAUUAUGCUGAGUGCAUCUAAUCAACAUGUAGAAUAAAGAUGGAGCUCCAGAGAAGUUAGCACGCAAUCUGGGUGACAGGUGCUGAGCAAGGACAGCCUCUUCCCAAUACUCUCCAAGCGGCCUGCUGUUUCCAGGGAAUGAUAUUAUCAUUCUUGGCAUCUAGAACAGGACUCAAUGUAAGAUUGUCUAAGGCAGUCACUGGCUACAGUUCAUGGAAGCUUCAGGACGGCACUUGGCAUGAGCUCUCAGUGCUAUGGAAAAAAGAAGCUCUUAGGUGGAAUAUUUCUAGCUAAAAAAUGUAUAGUUUUUUUUGUUGUUGUUUCUGUUCCUUUCAUUUUUAUUUUUAGAAAUAGGAUUUCAAAGGGCAUUUGUCCUGGUCCCUCAGGAAAGAACAUUUUCUAAAGUGUUCCCAUCAACAAUGCCUCAGGUGUUACAGGUCCCUACUCUUGGCCAUCCAGCUCUGCCACCGUGCCUGGAUUCUGCAUUUUCAAAGGGACCAGCUUACCAGCAGCAUCCUCUUCCUGCUGCCUCUUGACUCACACAGAUCCCAUCAAUAAGCAUUCACUGAGGCCUGCUCUAAGUGAGGCUCUGGGGAGAGUGCUGUGGGAGCUUCAAGAGCAAUAGCAGCCCUGAGCUCCAGGAGCUUCCCCUCUGAGGUGGGGAAUUGCGAUGCAUGGAACAUCUCCAACACACAAAGCAGACUCUUGCUAGGCUUCGAACUGGAAUUGCAUUGAUCGUAUUAACUUGGGGGAGAUCUGAUAUAUUUAAAAGAAAAAAAUAAGCCGGGCAUGGCGGCUCACGUCUGUAAUCCCAGCACUUGGGGAGACUGAGGUAGGUGGAUCAUUUGAGGUCAGGAGUUUGAGACCAGCCUGGCCAACAUGGUGAGACCCCGUCUCUACUAAAAAUACAAAAAUUAGCCGGGCGUGGUGGGUGCCUGUAAGCCCAGCUACGUGGGAGGCUGAGGCAGGAGAAUCGCUUGAACUUGAGAGAUGGAGGCUGCAGUGAGCUGAGAUCAUGCCACUGCACUUCAGCCUGGGUGACAGAGUGAGACUCUGUCUCAAAAAAGAAAAAAAAAAAAAAAGAAAAAAAUAUAGGCGAUGGAACAGAAAAGUGGGCAGUGGCUAUGAAGAUGCAAUCCAAAUAUAAGGUAAUACUUAUCACCAAAGAAAUAGCAAUUAAGACAACAGUGAGACAGCAUCUUGUGUCUGUCAGAUUGGAGGAAAAAUACUAAAUUGAAUAAUGUGAAUUGUUGUUGAGGAUUGUGGAACUAGCCUUCCAUGAAACGUUUCUAGAAGUCUAAAUGAGUGUAGACACUCCAGAGAGCAAUCUGGCGGUAUUUAGCAAUCCCAUACCUGGGCAUAUAACUUGGACAAACUCUGAUUAUAACAGACUAGGCCCAAGGAUAUGUUUAUUGCAGUAUUAUUGGUGGUAGUGAUGAGUUGGAGGCAAUAUAAGUUUCUACCACAAGGAGGGUUGAUAUGAGCGUUUGAUGAAUAGUAUGCAGUAGUCAGAAUAAUAAAACAGAUGUACACUCAGCAUGGAGAAAUCUGAAUAAGAUACUGUUGGCUGAUGACAGUAAGACAUGGAUUGAGAUAUAUAGUAGAGUGUCAUUUAUAUAAAUUCAAAACACGUGCACAAGAUGAUCAUGUCUCUAGUAGCUACAAAAGUGCUUGAUACAGAGUAGGCCUUCAGUAAAUUGUUUUACUUGUUGUCAAUAAAAAUAUAUAUACUAAAUAAAUAUCUAACAUUUAUGUAAGUUAAGAAUACAUAGACAUAUACAUAUUUUAAGGGUAUAUACAAAUGCGAAACAUAAUUUAAGGGUACGGCUCUUCUGGAUAGUCCAGCGUUCAAAUGGAGUUCUCUGGAGUGAAGUAAAAUUAAUUCACAAACCUCUGUUGCAUCCAAGGUCAAAUACUCUCACGAACACCCACUCUCUGUUCCCUGGUUUAAUACUCACUGAGUAACAUUCUGAAGCCUGAGACUUUUAUACAUACCCAGUUUCCAGAAAAGGCACAAAGAAGCUUUCCCCAAAAGAAAAUACAUGAAUAUUCCAUUUAUUUAAAAACAUCCGAGCAGGUCUAAGCAAUAUAAAUUAAUAUAGCAGCAUCAGUGUCUUGUGAGUUAAGACGAGUGUCCUAAGAUUUAGUUGCUUAACUGAUUCCUCUAUGUCCCUAAAUCAAAUGAUGAAAUACAGAUUUAGGUUCCAUUUUUUUGAAAGAAUACUUCAUAGGUCAUUCUGUCUACUUCCUACUGCACCACAUUUAGGAGGGAGGCACAUCAUGUGUGGUUGUCUCUUUAGUAAUUCUGAGAUUGGUCAAGGGGUCCAGGUGGUGUCUGACCUUAUUCCAUCAUUACAAAAGAAGUCACCAUCUACUUUUUACCUAGUGGUUUCAGUAUCUUUGGAUAAUCACUGCCCGGAUUUAUCAAGGUUUGCAAAAUGAUUUUCUAAUUCUGUGGUUCCUUCUAUACACAUUAGCUGGGAUUCUUCAAAAUGUAACUUACAAAACAAACAAAAUCACUAUCAAGACUUGACAUUCCUUCUUCCAUAUCAAUUUUCAGAAUAGUGAUAAAAGUUACCAGUAAUGAUUUCUAGUGGAGACCAAUAUGUUUUUCUCAUCAUUAUAUACUUUUUUUUUUUUUUGAGACAGAGUCUUGCUCUGUCACCAGGCUAGAGUGCAGUGGUGUGAUCUCUGCUCACUGCAACUUCCGCAUCCUGGGUUCAAGCAAUUCUCCUGCCUCAGCCUCCCAAGUAGCUGGGACUACAGGUGCACACCACCACGCCCAGCUGAUUUUUGUAGUUUUAGUAGAGACAGGGUUUCACCAUAUUGGCCAGGAUGGUCUCGAUCUCUUGACCUCGUGACCUGCCCACCUCAGCCUCCCAAAGUGCUGGGAUUACAGGCAUGAGCCACUGCGCCCAGCCCAUAAAUUUUUAUAUAUUUGAUGAGGUUGAAUUAAUUGCCAUCAUUAUUCUCUUUUCUCUCUCUCUUUAGGAUCCUUAAACAGCUUAUAUUCAAUAAACUGCAUAUGUUUAAAUGGCACACUUUGUAAAGUUUGGUGAUACUGUACAGUCACAAAAGCAUAAUCAAUGUAGCAAACAUAUCUAUUGUAAUCUAAAAUGUCCUUGUGCCUUUUUUAACCUCCUGCUCCUCCUCCAUACUAUAUCCCCAGGCGACCUCUGAUUUACUUUAUGUUGGAAUUUUUGAGAAAUUCAUACAAAUGGCAUUAUUUAGUAUGUACUCUUUGUGUCUGACUGCUUUUACUCAGCAUAAUUAUUUUGAGAUUCAACAUGUUGUCUGUAUCAAUACCUUUAAUUGUCAAGUGGUAUGCUAUUGUAUGACUAUGUCACAAUUGUUUAGCCAUCGAUGAACAUUUGGGUCGUUUCCAGUUUGGGGUUACUACAAAUAAAGCUGCUAAGAACAUUUUUAUAUAAAUCUUUGUGCAGACAUAGAUUUUAUUUCUAUGGGAUAAAUACCUACUAGUGGAAAGGCUACAUCAGAUAGUAGGGUAUAUACUUAACUUUUCAAAAAAAACUGCAAAUGUGCUUUCCAUAGAAGUGCUAUUGCACAUUUCUCCUGAGCAUGAGAAUUUCAAUUCUUCCCCAUUCUCUCCAAUAUUUAGUAUGGUCAGACCUUAUAAUUUUAUCCAUUUUAAUAGGAGUAUAUUAUGGUUUGAAUGUGUCCCCUCCAAAAUUCAGGUGUUGACAUUUAAUGGCCAAUGUGAUAGUAUCAAGAGAUAGGACCUUUAAGAGGUGGUUAGGUCCUGAGGACUCCUCACUCAUGAAUGGGAUUAAGAGAUUUCGUGCAGCUUUUGACUCCCUUGCCCUUUCACCUUUCACCAUGUGAGGACACAGUGUUCCUCCCCUCCAGAGGACGCCACAACUGGGCGCCAUCUGGGAAGCAGAGGGCAGUCCUCAAUAGACAAAGGAACCUGCCAGCAUCUUGAUCUGGGACCUUGCAGCCUCCAGAAACUAUGAGAAAUACAUUUUUGUUCUUUGAUAAAUUACCCAGUCUUCUGUAUUUUGUUAUGGCAGCACAAAAAGAACUGUGACACUGUGUACAUGUACUUAAUCGUGGUUUUACAGCAGUCUCCCUUUCUCUGCUGUUUCACUUUUUUGUUGUUUGUUUGUUUUGAGAUGGAGUCUCGUUCUUGUCGCCCAGUCUGGAGUGCAAUGGCGUGAUCUCGGCUCACCGCAACCUGUCCUCCUGGGUUCAAGCAAUUCUUCUGCCUCAGCCUCCGAAGUAGCUAGGCUUACAGACACGUGCCACCACACCCUGCCAAUUUUUGUAUUUUUAGUAGACAGGCUGUUAGGCAGGCUGGUCUUGAACUCCUAACCUCAGGUGAUCCGCCCACCUUGGCCUCCCAAAGUGCUGGGAUUACAGGCAUGAGCCACCGCACCCAGCAUGCUGAUUCACUUUCUGCAGUUUCAGUUACCCACAGUCAACCAUGGGCCAGAACAUAGUUACACUGCCACAAGUUGUGGAUGGGAGGGCUGGAUUUCCUGAACCCUUCCCAGCAUUGCUCGAGUUUCUUGGUUCCUCCGCUAGAGAAGAGGAGCCCCAGAGCUCUGUAGGCUCCAGAAAAGUGCCCAAAUCAUAAGCAGACAUCUCAUUGGAUUUACUGAGCACACCCAGGUAUCCACCACCCAAGGGAAGCAACGAAGGUGACCCCACCCAGCAUUUACCCUGUGUCCCUAUCUUGGACAUUGAUUCUGCUCCAGAGGUCACAAUCUCAUGCCGCCAAUUGCCAUAGAUUCGUUUUGCUUGGUCUUAAACUUUAUAUAAAUGAAAAUUCAACUUUAUGCUGUCUACAAGAGGCAUACUAACUCAUAAAAAUUAAAAGACUGACCCAGAAAACACAGCAAAAAGAAAAAUAUCACGAAAUGAUUGUCAGUCCAAUUAAAAUUCAAGACUGGAAGAAUUCAUGGGUCAGAGAAGCUGGUACAAGUGGAUCUGCUCGGCACCUAUAACCUAAUUACCUCUCAGGCUCACACAAGUCUCUGGCCGCUAAGCGAAUGAUCUCCCAAAGGGAUUAUUCUCAAGCAGCACAGAAACUGUCCCUAUGCCUCAGGUGGCCCCAGAACUCUUUCGUACUAGAGACUUAUCUGUUAAUAAAGUUAACAAAGGAAAGUGGCCUUCCAAGAAUGUUUGUUUGGGCCACUACCUGGAAGAAAUAACACUUGACCAUGAGAGACUUGGCUGAGCAGUGCUGGGUCAGCUUAACCAAAGAAGACCAGCCAUCACCCACGGCAAGAGCAGCUCUGACUUGGACCCACUGUUCCCCCAGCCUGUUAGCAGCCUGUGAACAAUCUUUAAGUGACCCCUGGCCCUGUCACAUCUCCAUUCAACAGGGUUCUUGGGGAGGAUGUGUGGACCGAGAACAGUGCCCACCCACACCACCUGUAAGUGUGGCCACGGCAGCCAGCCAGCAUGGAUGCUAAGUAACAAGUGGUAUUGGGGCACAGAUGUGGCGGGAGCGCUUUGGGGCAAAGAAAGAGGUGCUGUGAGUGAGGACAGAAAGGAAGGGGAAAAAAAAGCCUCAUGGGUUAGAGCGCCUCUCACCUUUGGCUCUUCUUCAGAAGACUGGUAAAAGAAAACAAGAAGAGAAAUUGGUUUCCCUGACUUCUCUAAAGCAAGCGUUCUUCAGAAAAGAGAAUCGAUCAGCCUGGUUAAAGUGGAUAAACUAUGUGAUGUCCAUCCAGAGAGGUGUCUAUUAAUGGCUGUAAAAUGGAAAGAUGAAUCAAUGGGACCGAUUAAUAUUUAUGAAGAGUUGAACUAGGCAGAGUGAAAAAGCCUUGUAUAUUGGAUAAGAAAGGAAAAGCAUUGCACACCAUAGGAUGCGUUUGUUUGGCUAAGGUUUCUGUUUUGAUCACUGGGUAAUUGUAUAGAGCAGGGGCGUAUGGUAGAGAAAGAAAAUCUAUAUCUAGAAGUUAUUGACUUUAUGUACAAAAGCACUGGUUGGUGCCUAUUUUUGAGGACCACUCCAUCUUAAAAAUAACUUUGGUUUUGUACGGCCUAGUUGUGGUGGAAAAGGAGCUCCAAAGAGUAAGCAAGUUUCCUACAAAAAGAAUCCAAGCUGUUGAAACUACAAUUAAGAAAUGCAAAGAGUUACUAAUUUUACUACUUAGAGGAAAGGAAAUUCACAAGCAGGAAAGAAACUGUGGAUCAGGGCAAGUUGUAACUCUAGAGGUUCAGAGAUAGGAGCUCUAAUUACACCAGGGCAAGGGAGUACUGUUUGGGGAAAUUUCUGAAACAUGAAAUAGGAAAGCUGAGGGUCAAAAUGAUAUUGUGAUGUGAAUAAAUAGAGAAGACAUGUUUGCAUGGAGCUCAGCUGGGUAAUCAUGGAAAGAAGGAGGGGCGAAGGAGGAAACUGAAAAUCGAAAUAAAGAACAGAAGCACAGACCAUGAAAUAUGCCAAAUAUAGUGUGCAAAUACUCAGAAGGCAUGGAAAGAUAAGUUAGAAGCCAAAACUCAGUUAUCACUAUCGUGUGAAGGAACAAUAAAACUCUUAGCAAAAACAAAUGACUUAGCAUGAGACCAAUACUGCUUUCCUUAGGUAGCUUGGUCCAGAGGGAAAAGGCUGAUAUCACUCCCUAUCAAGGGUUUUUAGACGGUUUAAGUGAGCUCUGCAAGUGGGAGACACGGUGAUGAUUAUUGACAGUUGCUAUCUUUCAAGGGGGAGAAGCAAACUGAUGUUACACAUUAGAAUUAGUUAGCACCACCGAACACAGGUUACAAAAAUACUGGGAGGAAUUCUCUCUCCUGAGCACAUUACGCAAUAUUUGCAAAUGUGUGCAGGUAAGUGUUGACUCUCUCAUCAUGCUGGACCUGGAAAUGGUUCUCAGCAAAUCAUGGCAUGAUUUCUUUUUCAAAGUUGGGUACACGAAUAUUAUCGUAACCAGCUAAGAGCAGGGAGACGUGGCAUGGGAGACUAACAGAUAGUGCAGCUUUUAAGAGAAGACGUAGAAAUCAAUCUAGUAACAAAUAUUUAUUAAGCAUUGGAGUGUGCUAGGCACCAAGAGAAAAGAAACCUCCACAGCUGAUAAAGCCUUUCAAAAUAAUGUCCUCAGUUAAUUUGCACAUUUCCAUGAGGUAGGUGUUGUUAGCCAUUUCCGUUAAUGAGAAAAAAAAAAAUGAGAUUCAGAAAGGUUAAUUAAAUUGGAGAUCUCCUGAUUUUUUAGUUUUAUAUCCUUCCCGUGUCCUUUCCAGGCUUAUAUUCUGGUCCUAUCACUUCUCAGCUGAGUUACUUCAACAAGUUAUUUAUUCUCUGUGUUCCCAGCUGUCAAAAUGAAAAUGCCAGUACCCACCUGGUAAGGAGUGAGAGAACAUUUAUAAAAAUGCUCGGCUGGGUACCUGACACAUAGGAGGUCCUCAGUAAAUUUGUUUUCUCCCUUUCUUCCUGAAGUACGGUGGCAGAGGGAUUCAGCCAGCCAGCCUGGGUAGCACAAGCCAUGAUGCCCUGCUGAAUCUGUGUUCUAGGGUCGGACAGGGGGAGUCCUUUUGCCUAGAGGGAUGGUGUGCGAGGCCUAAGAGGACUUGGGCAGAGUCUUGAAGGACGAGCAGGAUUUGCUGUGGUGGAGAGGUGGUCACGGGUUGAGCAGAUAGGAGAACCAAGGAAUCAAGGCAGGGAAAGAGAGGGGAUGCAUGUGAAGGGCCAGGAGCUGUUAACUAGUUUGCUAAGCAGCAGGCGAGGAUUUAGAAGGAGUUGGAGAAGUGUGGAGGGAGCUGAGGCUCUUGUGAGGGGAACUUUUAUGCUAAGGGUUCCAACUUGGCCCUGUGAAUGAAGGUGAGCUGGGGAAGGUUUGUGAACUUGGAGUCUCACCUGUAAAAGAUUAAUCUGGUGCCAGUGUACAGAAUGGACCGUCAAGGAAGAGGUGGAAAAACAAGGAAAAUUUGUAUUUUAUAGACACACACACACAUAGACACAGAGCCCUUUUUAUUAGAAAACAUAUAAUCAACUUAACCCCAUUUUAAAUGGCUUGGACAUUAAUUUUACUCUUGUAAUUGAUUAUAGAGGUUUAAAACUGUUGUGUUUUUGCCUUUGUGACAUAUUAUGGCUGUAUCUAAAAUUUAUUUGAUGUUAAAUCAAGAACAAAACUCUUCAAUUCUAUUGUUGUUCCUAAGGUAAAAUAUAAUCUACUUUGAGUCAAUUCACUGUGUCAUAAACUUUCCAGGAAUGGGAAACUUGAUAAAAAGCAGAGACUCACUGCAUAUGACAAUAAUUAAAUCUAUAUUCAACAAGUAUAAAAGAAUGGUUGUAGGGGUGAGCAAUUUGGAAGAAAAAAAGCCACUUGACUUAAAUAUGACAGAAAAUCAUACUGAGGUCUGACACCCCAUGACCUUUUUUGAGAUUUGAGGUUAUGCCAUGUAUUUGAGAAUAAAUAAAAUCCAUUUAAGUGUCUAUAUUAUUAAAUGAAUCGUAUUUUCAGAAAGCAUUAGAUAAAGUCUGUUUUAGACCUUGGAAUCCAUUUUUCUCAUGAACACAAUAUCGUAAAUAGAUGAGAAUUGAGUUCCCAGUCUAUAAAACCCUUAUUAAAUCAUCAUGUAGCUGAACUAUUCUAUAUUGGCAAUCAAUAGAGUUGAGUAAUCUUUUCAUAGUCACAGUGAUAAAAAAACAAAAAAUAUUGAAGAAGUAAUUUUUCAAAAAAUAGAGGUAUAGCACGUUUAAUUAUGGAUUAAGAGGCCGAUAAAUAAUUUUGUGGUGAUUCUGAAGAGACUAUCUGGGCACUUUCAAAAGCUUUAGAGUUGAUAAACUGUUCUUAUUAUGUCUAAUUUAAUAUUCAAAAUUUAUGACCAUUCAUUCAUUCAUCAAACAUAACUUAGAUAUCUACAAUAGGUAUUGUGCUAGCCGCUGGAGAUUUCAAUGUAAUGAAACAGUUCCUAACUUAAAGAAAAGCAGCACUUGAAAUUUUACUAAUGCAUUCAGUCAUUUACUUAACAGAUACUGAAUGUUUGCUACCGUGAGUCUAUUAUUCCUAUGCGUAUCAACUCCCAGGAAGCAUGUGUAGCUCGCUGAUGGAAUACAGAGAAAUAUUCCUGAGAGAAUACCAAAAAUAGUCCGUUUGUGCUACUAAAACAAAAUGGCUGAGACCGAGUAGCUAGCUUAUAAAGAACAGAAAGCUAUUUUCUCACAGUUCUGGAGGCUGGGAAGUCCAAGAUAAAAGCACCAACGGGUUUGGUUGUCUGGCAAAGGCUUCUCUCUGUUUCCAAGAUGGUGCCUUGUUGCUGUGUCCUCCAGAGGGAAGGAAUGCUGUGUCUUCACAUGGCAGAAGGCUGAAGGGCAAGUGAGCUAACACUGUGUGAAGCUUAUUUUAUAAGGACCUUAAUCCCAUUCAAGAGGGAG